CCUACGGGUGGCAGCAGUGGGGAAUAUUGGACAAUGGGCGAAAGCCUGAUCCAGCCAUGCCGCGUGUGUGAAGAAGGCCUUCGGGUUGUAAAGCACUUUCAGUGGGGAAGAAAGCCUUGGGGCUAAUACCCUCGAGGAAGGACAUUACCCACAGAAGAAGCACCGGCUAACUCCGUGCCAGCAGCCGCGGUAAUACGGAGGGUGCGAGCGUUAAUCGGAAUUACUGGGCGUAAAGCGCGCGUAGGCGGUCUGAUAAGCCGGUUGUGAAAGCCCCGGGCUCAACCUGGGAACGGCAUCCGGAACUGUCAGGCUAGAGUGCAGGAGAGGAAGGUAGAAUUCCCGGUGUAGCAGUGAAAUGCGUAGAGAUCGGGAGGAAUACCAGUGGCGAAGGCGGCCUUCUGGACUGACACUGACGCUGAGGUGCGAAAGCGUGGGUAGCAAACAGGAUUAGAUACCCGAGUAGUC
rnacentral:rRNA from 1 species